GGGUGAGGAAUUCGUCGGAAUCUGCCUUUUUGUGGGGGAUAACGUAGGGAAACUUACGCUAAUACCGCAUACGACCUACGGGUGAAAGUGGGGGACCGCAAGGCCUCACGCAGAAAGAUGAGCCGACGACCGAUUAGCUAGUUGGUAGGGUAAAGGCCUACCAAGGCGACGAUCGGUAGCUGGUCUGAGAGGAUGAUCAGCCACACUGGGACUGAGACACGGCCCAGACUCCUACGGGAGGCAGCAGUGGGGAAUAUUGGACAAUGGGCGCAAGCCUGAUCCAGCCAUGCCGCGUGUGUGAAGAAGGCCUUCGGGUUGUAAAGCACUUUUGUCCGGAAAGAAAUCCUUCAACUUAAUACGUUGGGGGGAUGACGGUACCGGAAGAAUAAGCACCGGCUAACUUCGUGCCAGCAGCCGCGGUAAUACGAAGGGUGCAAGCGUUACUCGGAAUUACUGGGCGUAAAGCGUGCGUAGGCGGUUCGUUAAGUCUGACGUGAAAUCCCCGGGCUCAACCUGGGACGUGCGUUGGAAACUGGCGAUCUAGAGUACGGUAGAGGGUGGUGGAAUUCCCGGUGUA
rnacentral:rRNA from 1 species